AACGCUAGCGGCAGGCCUAACACAUGCAAGUCGAGGGGUAACAGGAAAGCUUGCUUUUGCUGACGACCGGCGCACGGGUGCGUAACGCGUAUGCAACCUACCUCAUACUGGAGGAUAGCCCCUGGAAACGGGGAUUAAUACUCCAUAGUAUCACGAAUUCGCACGUUUUUGUGAUUAAAGUUUUUCGGUAUGAGAUGGGCAUGCGUCCCAUUAGCUUGUUGGUGAGGUAACGGCUCACCAAGGCAACGAUGGGUAGGGGGCCUGAGAGGGUGGUCCCCCACACUGGUACUGAGACACGGACCAGACUCCUACGGGAGGCAGCAGUGAGGAAUAUUGGUCAAUGGAGGCAACUCUGAACCAGCCAUGCCGCGUGAAGGAUGACGGCCCUAUGGGUUGUAAACUUCUUUUAUAGAGGAAGAAACUUGUCUACGUGUAGACAACUGACGGUACUCUACGAAUAAGGAUCGGCUAACUCCGUGCCAGCAGCCGCGGUAAUACGGAGGAUCCAAGCGUUAUCCGGAUUCAUUGGGUUUAAAGGGUCCGUAGGCGGGUCUUUAAGUCAGUGGUGAAAGCCGACAGCUCAACUGUCGAACUGCCAUUGAUACUGGAGACCUUGAGUACAAAUGAAGUAGGCGGAAUGAGUCAUGUAGCGGUGAAAUGCAUAGAUAUGACUCAGAACACCGAUUGCGAAGGCAGCUUACUAACAUGUAACUGACGCUGAGGGACGAAAGCGUGGGGAGCGAACAGGAUUAGAUACCCUGGUAGUCCACGCCGUAAACGAUCAUCACUCGCUGUUGGCGAUAUACUGUCAGCGGCCAAGC
rnacentral:rRNA from 1 species